GGACAGCCUUCUCCUUCAGCACAGGUGCAGCAGUGAACAGCAGUGAGAGUCUCCCUCCAUCCUCGUCUGUCAAUGACAUCUCCUCCAUGUCCACCGACCAGACCCUGGCAUCUGACACUGACAGCAGCCUGGAAGCCUCGGCAGGACCCCUGGGUUGUUGCAGGUGACUAGCCGCCUGCCUGCGAAACCCAGCGUUCUUCAGGAGAUGAUGUGAUGGAACACACACACACGCAGACACACACACACACACAAAUGCAGACACACAACAUCAAGAAAACAGCAAGGGAGAGAAUCCAAGCCUAAAAUUAAAUAAAUCUUUCAGCCUGCUUCUUCCCCAGGGUUCUGUAUUGCAGCUAAGCUCAAAUGUAUAUUUAACUUCUAGUUGCUCUUGCUUUGGUCUUCUUCCAAUGAUGCUUACUACAGAAAGCAAAUCAGACACAAUUAGAGAAGCCUUUUCCAUAAAGUGUAAUUUUAAUGGCUGCAAAACCGGCAACCUGUAACUGCCCUUUUAAAUGGCAUGACAAGGUGUGCAGUGGCCCCAUCCAGCAUGUGUGUGUCUCUAUCUUGCAUCUACCUGCUCCUUGGCCUAGUCAGAUGGAUGUAGAUACAGAUCCGCAUGUGUCUGUAUUCAUACAGCACUACUUACUUAGAGAUGCUACUGUCAGUGUCCUCAGGGCUCUACCAAGACAUAAUGCACUGGGGUACCACAUGGUCCAUUUCAUGUGAUCUAUUACUCUGACAUAAACCCAUCUGUAAUAUAUUGCCAGUAUAUAAGCUGUUUAGUUUGUUAAUUGAUUAAACUGUAUGUCUUAUAAGAAAACAUGUAAAGGGGGAAUAUAUGGGGGGAGUGAGCUCUCUCAGACCCUUGAAGAUGUAGCUUCCAAAUUUGAAUGGAUUAAAUGGCACCUGUAUACC
rnacentral:lncRNA from 1 species